CCGUAUCACUCUUGUACUACUGUAUCACACUUGUACCACUGUAUCACUCUUGUAAAGAGUGAUACAGUGGUACAAAAGUGAUACGGUGGUACAAGAGUGAUACAGUGAUACAAGAGUGAUACAGU
rnacentral:pre_miRNA from 1 species